GUGACCUUCGAUGAUGUGCAUGUGAAAUUUAGCCAAGAAGAGUGGGCUUUGUUGGAACCUUCCCAGAAGCAACUCUACAAAGAUGUGAUGCUAGAGACCUGUAAAAACCUCACUGCUAUAGGCUACAAUUGGGAACACCAUAAUAUUGGAGAACAUUUUCAAAGUUCUACAAGUAAUAAAAGCGUUCUUCUCUCACAAGGUGGAACACAAGAGCAAGACCCACAACGGC